rnacentral:rRNA from 1 species
CACCCAGACUCCUACGGGAGGCAGCAGUGGGGGAUAUUGCACAAUGGGGGAAACCCUGAUGCAGCGACGCCGCGUGAGUGAAGAAGUAAUUCGUUACGUAAAGCUCUAUCAGCAGGGAAGAAAAUGACGGUACCUGACUAAGAAGCCCCGGCUAACUACGUGCCAGCAGCCGCGGUAAUACGUAGGGGGCAAGCGUUAUCCGGAUUCACUGGGUGUAAAGGGAGCGUAGACGGCGACGCAAGUCUGGAGUGAAAGCCCGGGGCCCAACCCCGGGACUGCUCUGGAAACUGCGGCGCUGGAGUGCAGGAGGGGCAGGCGGAAUUCCUGGUGUAGCGGUGAAAUGCGUAGAUAUCAGGAGGAACACCGGUGGCGAAGGCGGCCUGCUGGACUGCGACUGACGUUGAGGCCCGAAAGCGUGGGGAGCAAACAGGAUUAGAUACCCGGGUA